GAUGAAGAACGCAGCGAAAUGCGAUAAGUAAUGUGAAUUGCAGAAUUCAGUGAAUCAUCGAAUCUUUGAACGCACAUUGCGCCCGCUAGUAUUCUGGCGGGCAUGCCUGUCCGAGCGUCAUUUCAACCCUCAAGCCCCCGGGCUUGGUGUUGGGGAUCGGCGAGCCUCCGCGCCCGCCGUCCCCUAAAUCUAGUGGCGGUCUCGCUGUAGCUUCCUCUGCGUAGUAGCACACCUCGCACUGGGAAACAGCGCGGCCACGCCGUUAAACCCCCAACUUCUGAACGUUUGACCUCGGAUCAGGUAGGAAUACCCGCUGAACUUAAGCAUAUCAAUAAGCGGAAGA
rnacentral:misc_RNA from 1 species